CCUACGGGUGGCUGCAGUGGGGAAUAUUGGACAAUGGGCGAAAGCCUGAUCCAGCCAUGCCGCGUGUGUGAAGAAGGCCUUCGGGUUGUAAAGCACUUUCAGUGGGGAAGAAAGCCUUGGGGCUAAUACCCUCGAGGAAGGACAUCACCCACAGAAGAAGCACCGGCUAACUCCGUGCCAGCAGCCGCGGUAAUACGGAGGGUGCGAGCGUUAAUCGGAAUUACUGGGCGUAAAGCGCGCGUAGGCGGUCUGAUAAGCCGGUUGUGAAAGCCCCGGGCUCAACCUGGGAACGGCAUCCGGAACUGUCCGGCUUGGGUGCAAGAGAGGAAGGGAAGAUUCCCCGUGGUGCGGUUAAAAGCGUUGAGAUCGGGAGGGAUAACAGGGGCGAAGGCGGCCUUCUGGACUGACACUGACGCUGAGGUGCGAAAGCGUGGGUAGCAAACAGGAUUAGAUACCCUAGUAGUC
rnacentral:rRNA from 1 species